AAGUCGUAACAAGGUUUCCGUAGGUGAACCUGCGGAAGGAUCAUUAAAAACUUUUAUCCGGGAAUUCGUUUCGUCUUCCCGGAUUAUUUGUAUUCAAAUCCCACUCUUUAUAAAUAUAUCAAUUAUAUAAAACAAAAAAGAAAAAAAGAAAACUUUCAACAACGGAUCUCUUGGCUCUC
rnacentral:misc_RNA from 1 species